AUAAUGACGCAGUAGGUCAGUGUGGCUGGCUGUUAACCAGAAGGUUGCUGGUUCAAGCCCACCAAGGGAUG